rnacentral:rRNA from 1 species
GCAGUCGAGCGAACAGAGAAGGAGCUUGCUCCUUUGACGUUAGCGGCGGACGGGUGAGUAACACGUGGGCAACCUACCUUAUAGUUUGGGAUAACUCCGGGAAACCGGGGCUAAUACCGAAUAAUCUGUUUCACCUCAUGGUGAAACACUGAAAGACGGUUUCGGCUGUCGCUAUAGGAUGGGCCCGCGGCGCAUUAGCUAGUUGGUGAGGUAACGGCUCACCAAGGCGACGAUGCGUAGCCGACCUGAGAGGGUGAUCGGCCACACUGGGACUGAGACACGGCCCAGACUCCUACGGGAGGCAGCAGUAGGGAAUCUUCCACAAUGGGCGAAAGCCUGAUGGAGCAACGCCGCGUGAGUGAAGAAGGAUUUCGGUUCGUAAAACUCUGUUGUAAGGGAAGAACAAGUACAGUAGUAACUGGCUGUACCUUGACGGUACCUUAUUAGAAAGCCACGGCUAACUACGUGCCAGCAGCCGCGGUAAUACGUAGGUGGCAAGCGUUGUCCGGAAUUAUUGGGCGUAAAGCGCGCGCAGGUGGUUUCUUAAGUCUGAUGUGAAAGCCCACGGCUCAACCGUGGAGGGUCAUUGGAAACUGGGAGACUUGAGUGCA